GCAUUCUUAGUUCAGCGGUAGAAUUCCUGCCUUCCAAGCAGGAGGCCGGGGUUCGACUCCCCGAGAAUGCA